UACGGAGGGGACUAGCGUUGUUCGGAAUUACUGGGCGUAAAGCGCACGUAGGCGGAUUUGUAAGUCAGGGGUGAAAUCCCGGGGCUCAACCUCGGAACUGCCUUUGAUACUGCAAAUCUCGAGUCCGGAAGAGGUGAGUGGAACUGCGAGUGUAGAGGUGAAAUUCGUAGAUAUUCGCAAGAACACCGGUGGCGAAGGCGGCUCACUGGCCCGAUACUGACGCUGAGGCACGAAAGCGUGGGGAGCAAACAGG
rnacentral:rRNA from 1 species